rnacentral:rRNA from 1 species
GUCAAGCUAUUAAGGGCGUACGGUGGAUGCCUUGGCGCCAAGAGGCGAUGAAGGGCGUGGUAAGCUGCGAUAAGCUUCGGUAAGCCGCUAAACAGGCUUUGACCCGGAGAUUCCCGAAUGGGGAAACCCGGCUCCGGUCAUGCGGAGUCAUCCCGUGCUGAAUACAUAGGUGCGGGAAGCUAACCGGGGGAACUGAAACAUCUAAGUACCCCGAGGAAGAGAAAGCAAAUGCGAUUCCCUGAGUAGCGGCGAGCGAAACGGGAUCAGCCCAAACCGGAUGAAUGUAAGCCCAUGCGCGUUGUUCAUCCGGGGUUGUGGGACCUGCCAUGCAGGUGUAUGGACCUGUGAGGGAGUUACAAAUUUUUACUCUAGUCGAACGGCCUGGAAAGGCCGACCAGAGACGGUGACAGUCCGGUAGACGAAAGGGUAAAAACUCCCGGCGUGGUUCCCGAGUACCGCGGGACACGAGGAACCCUGUGGGAAUCUGGGAGGACCAUCUCCCAAGGCUAAAUACUCCUUGGCGACCGAUAGUGAACCAGUACCGUGAGGGAAAGGUGAAAAGGACUCCUGGCGGAGAGUGAAAUAGAACCUGAAACCGUAUGCCUACAAGUUGUGGGAGCCCUAUGUUUCCGUCCUGGAUGGGAACAGGGUGACCGCGUGCCUUUUGUAUAAUGAGCCAACGAGUUACUGUACGUAGCGAGGUUAAGCCGGAGAGGUGGAGCCGUAGCGAAAGCGAGUCUGAACAGGGCGAUUCAGUUGCGUGUAGUAGACCCGAAACCGGGUGAUCUAUCCAUGGCCAGGGUGAAGUCUCGGUAACACGAGAUGGAGGCCCGAACCCACUGAGGUUGAAAACUCAGGGGAUGAGCUGUGGAUAGGGGUGAAAGGCCAAUCAAACCCGGAAAUAGCUGGUUCUCCCCGAAAUAUAUUUAGGUAUAGCCUUGCGUAUGGAUCGUGGUGGUAGAGCACUGAAUGGACUAGGGGGCCUACCAGCCUACCAAACCCAAUCAAACUCCGAAUGCCACGAUUCCUCAGCGCAGGAGUCAGCCAGUGGGAGAUAACUUCCAUUGACGAGAGGGAAACAACCCAGACCGCCGGCUAAGGUCCCGAAGUACUAGCUAAGUGGGAAAGGAUGUGAAAUUGCUCUGACAGCCAGGAGGUUGGCUUAGAAGCAGCCACCCUUUAAAGAAAGCGUAACAGCUCACUGGUCGAGUGGUUUUGCGCCGAAAAUGUAACGGGGCUUAAGCUAGUCACCGAAGCCGCGGAUUCAGCCCGUUUCGACGGGUUGAGUGGUAGGGGAGCGUUCCAUGUUGGCUGAAGCUGGACCGUGAGGACUAGUGGACGACAUGGAAGUGAGUAUGUUGGCAUGAGUAACGAUAAAGCCGGUGAGAAACCGGCUCGCCGAAAACCCAAGGUUUCCUGGGGAAGGGUAAUCCGCCCAGGGUCAGUCGGCCCCUAAGCCGAGGCUGAAAAGCGUAGGCGAUGGGAAACAGGUUAAUAUUCCUGUACCAGUCGGAUGUCGUUUGUACGAUGGGGUGACGCAGGAGGGUAGGCCAUCCAGCGAAUGGAAAUGCUGGUCCAAGCACGUAGGGGGACGUUCCAGGCAAAUCCGGAAUGUCAUUAACCCUGAGAUGCGAUGGGGAGGCCGUAAGGCCGCAAACUGGUUGAUCCCACGCUGCCAAGAAAAACCUCUAAGGAGAUAUCCGGUUGACCGUACCGAAAACCGACUCAGGUGGGUGAGGAGAGAAUCCUAAGGCGCUUGAGUGAACCCUCGUUAAGGAACUCGGCAAAAUAGCUCCGUAACUUCGGGAGAAGGAGUGCCCCCAUUAGGUGAAGCCCCUUGCGGGCGGAGCUGAGGGGGGUCGCAGUGACUAGGCCCAUGCGACUGUUUACUAAAAACACAGGACUCUGCUAAGUCGUAAGACGAUGUAUAGGGUCUGACGCCUGCCCGGUGCCGGAAGGUUAAUGGGAGAUGUUAUCUUGGGCUUGUCUCAGGAGAAGCAUUGAACUGAAGCCCCGGUAAACGGCGGCCGUAACUAUAACGGUCCUAAGGUAGCGAAAUUCCUUGUCGGGUAAGUUCCGACCUGCACGAAUGGCGUAACGAUAUGGGCACUGUCUCAACGAGGGACUCAGUGAAAUUACAGUGGCGGUGAAGAUGCCGUCUACCCGCAGAAAGACGGAAAGACCCCGUGAACCUUUACUACAGCUUGACAGUGAAUCUAGGGACAGUAUGUGUAGGAUAGGUGGGAGGCUUUGAAACCUUGACGCUAGUUGGGGUGGAGCCGACCUUGAAAUACCACCCUUAUUGUUCUUGGGUUCUAACCUGGGCCCGUAAUCCGGGUCGGGGACAUUGUCUGGUGGGUAGUUUGACUGGGGCGGUCGCCUCCUAAAAAGUAACGGAGGCGCACAAAGGUUCCCUCAGGCUGAUUGGAAACCAGCCGUAGAGUGCAAAGGUAUAAGGGAGCUUAACUGCGAGACCUACAAGUCGAGCAGAUGGGAAACCAGGUCUUAGUGAUCCGGCGGUUCCGCAUGGAAGGGCCGUCGCUCAACGGAUAAAAGGUACUCCGGGGAUAACAGGCUUAUCUCCCCCAAGAGUUCACAUCGACGGGGAGGUUUGGCACCUCGAUGUCGGCUCAUCGCAUCCUGGGGCUGAAGUAGGUCCCAAGGGUUGGGCUGUUCGCCCAUUAAAGCGGUACGCGAGCUGGGUUUAGAACGUCGUGAGACAGUUCGGUCCCUAUCUUCUGUGGGCGUAGGAUAUUUGAAGGGAGCUGCUCCUAGUACGAGAGGACCGGAGUGGACGGAUCCCUGGUGAUCCAGUUGUCCCGCCAGGGGCAUCGCUGGGUAGCUACAUUCGGAAAGGAUAACCGCUGAAAGCAUCUAAGCGGGAAGCCUCCCCUGAGAUUAGAUAUCCCCUCCGCGCUUGCGUGGACUGAAGACCCCUUGUAGACUACAAGGUUGAUAGGCCGGGUGUGUAAGUGCGGUGACGCAUUCAGCUAACCGGUACUAAUCGGUCGUGAGGCUUGACC